rfam:Gossypium hirsutum cultivar TM-1 chromosome 4, whole genome shotgun sequence
GAGAGCGUAGUACAACGGAGAGUUGUAUGCUACGUUCGGGAAGGAUGAAUCACUCUCGAAAAGGAAUAUAUUGAUUCUUUCCCAAUUGGUUGAACUGUAGGUACGAUGAUUUACUUCAU